CUACGUGCCAGCAGCCGCGGUAAUACGGAGGGUGCGAGCGUUAAUCGGAAUAACUGGGCGUAAAGGGCACGCAGGCGGCUAUUUAAGUGAGGUGUGAAAUCCCCGGGCUUAACCUGGGAAUUGCAUUUCAGACUGGGUAGCUAGAGUACUUUAGGGAGGGGUAGAAUUCCAUGUGUAGCGGUGAAAUGCGUAGAGAUGCGGAGGAAUACCGAAGGCGAAGGCAGCCCCUUGGGAAUGUACUGACGCUCAUGUGCGAAAGCGUGGGGAGCAAACAGGAUUAGAUACCCUGGUAGUCCACGCUGUAAACGCUGUCGAUUUGGGGAUUGGGCUUUAAGCUUGGUGCCCGUAGCUAACGUGAUAAAUCGACCGCCUGGGGAGUACGGCCGCAAGGUUAAAACUCAAAUGAAUUGACGGGGGCCCGCACAAGCGGUGGAGCAUGUGGUUUAAUUCGAUGCAACGCGAAGAACCUUACCUACUCUUGACAUCCAUGGAAUCCUGUAGAGAUACGGGAGUGC
rnacentral:rRNA from 1 species